GACGAACGCUGGCGGCGUGCUUAACACAUGCAAGUCGAACGGAAAGGCCUCUUUCGGGGGGUACUCGUGUGGCGAACGGGUGAGUAACACGUGCGUAACCUGCCCUUGUCUAUGGGAUAACUUCAGGCAACUGGGGCUAAUACCGGCUAGAAGCUCCUGUUGCAUGGAGGGGGUUGGAAAGAUUCGGGGGCUGGGGGUGGCCUCGCGGCGUAUCCGCUUAUUGGUGGGGUAGUGGAUUACCAAGGCGUUGCCGGGUAGGCGGCCUGAGGGAGUGCGAGGCCACAUUGGGACUUAGGGACGGCCCAGGCACGUACGGGAGGGAGCAGGGGGGAAUAUUGCACAAGGGGUGGAAGCCGGAUGCAGCAAGGCUUUGGACGGGAAGACGGUCUUCGGGUUGUAGACCACUUUCGCUCAUGACGGAGCUUUGUGUGACGGUAGUGGGUAAAGAAGCACCGGCUAACUACGUG
rnacentral:rRNA from 1 species